rnacentral:rRNA from 1 species
UGGGGAAUUUUGGACAAUGGGCGCAAGCCUGAUCCAGCAAUGCCGCGUGAGUGAAGAAGGCCUUCGGGUUGUAAAGCUCUUUUGUCAGGGAAGAAACGGCAGUGGCUAAUAUCCACGGCUAAUGACGGUACCUGAAGAAUAAGCACCGGCUAACUACGUGCCAGCAGCCGCGGUAAUACGUAGGGUGCAAGCGUUAAUCGGAAUUACUGGGCGUAAAGCGUGCGCAGGCGGUUUUGUAAGUCUGUCGUGAAAGCCCCGGGCUCAACCUGGGAAUUGCGAUGGAGACUGCAAGGCUUGAAUCUGGCAGAGGGGGGUAGAAUUCCACGUGUAGCAGUGAAAUGCGUAGAGAUGUGGAGGAACACCGAUGGCGAAGGCAGCCCCCUGGGUCAAGAUUGACGCUCAUGCACGAAAGCGUGGGGAGCAAACA